rnacentral:misc_RNA from 1 species
CUGUAUGCGGUCACACUGUUCGCCUGACGCGCCGUUCUGCAAAAAAAAGUAACCAAGAAGUUAUAGAUCUCAACUAAUCCACAAUGGCUGAUUCGGAUGAUGAGUACGAUCGGAAACGGCGAGACAAAUUCCGUGGAGAGCGCAGCGAUAGUUACCGGACAGAGCGCCGAGAUGACCGUCGACCUUUGGGCGGCUCCGGCAGUGCCCGGGACGAGUGGUCUGACCGGGGCGGUGCUUCUGCGGGAGGCGGUGGGGGAGGGGCUCGUCACCGGCCCGACUACAGCGACUACCGUGGCCCAGGUCCGAGAGCGCGUUAUGGCUCGCCCGGUCGCGACUUGCCGCCGGCUAAGCGAAUGCGUCCUGACUGGGGCGAUGGAGAUGUGCGCCCUAAUCCCCGUUUCGGAGGAUAUGAUCCCUAUUUAAUGCAAGCGUGGAAUGACCACUACCAAUCUAUACACUCUGCGUACUCGCACGGCAGUCACAUGCCACCAGUCCGGGAGUCGGGGGGCAGCGGCGGUGACUCCCUUACGCAGCCGGCAAUGCUCAAUCUAAAGCAAUUCCUGGACACACAAGACGAGAACAUUUCGGACUCGGAGGUCAUGCGGAAGUACACCGAAUACAAGACGGACUUCAAGAGGCAGCAAUUGAACGAGUUCUUUGUGGCCCACAAGGAUGAGGAAUGUUUUUCUCUGCAGCUUAUUGGGUUUGUGAGGCAGAGACUUAUCUGAGAGCGUCUGCGCCAUUUCGCAGAGCUGCUAAAUGAUAUCCACUAAAUUUUAAUUGUAAAUUACCCGGCGAGCAAUGCCGAGGUGUGUUUAUAUUUUAAAACCGCGAUUUAUUUAAAUUCGAUUAUCGAGCAAAUGCCCAAAUAACCUUAAAACACAAUCCCAUAAAUAUUGAAAGCGCUAAGUUGGCAAGGUUCAAAAAUAAAUACCACCCCGAGGACAGUGUAAGGCGUGCCGAAGAGCAGCGGGGCUUUCUAAAGAGACGCACUGACGUGUUC